UACGAAGGGGGCUAGCGUUGUUCGGAAUUACUGGCGUAAAGCGCACGUAGGCGGAUACUUAAGUCAGGGGUGAAAUCCCGGGGCUCAACCCCGGAACUGCCUUUGAUACUGGGUAUCUCGAGUCCGGAAGAGGUGAGUGGAAUUCCGAGUGUAGAGGUGAAAUUCGUAGAUAUUCGGAGGAACACCAGUGGCGAAGGCGGGCUCAUCAGGUUCCGGUACUGACGCUGAGGUGCGAAAGCGUGGGGAGCAAACAGG
rnacentral:rRNA from 1 species